rnacentral:rRNA from 1 species
UUGGUCAUUUAGAGGAAGUAAAAGUCGUAACAAGGUCUCCGUAGGUGAACCUGCGGAGGGAUCAUUACACAAUUAAAAUAUGAAGGCCCUUCAAACUGGCUGGAUUAUUUUUAUCACCCUUGUCUUUUGCGCACUUGUUGUUUCCUGGGCGGGUUCGCCCGCCACCAGGACCACACCAUAAACCUUUUUUAUGCAGUUGCAAUCAGCGUCAGUAUAACAAAUGUAAAUCAUUUACAACUUUCAACAACGGAUCUCUUGGUUCUGGCAUCGAUGAAGAACGCAGCGAAAUGCGAUACGUAGUGUGAAUUGCAGAAUUCAGUGAAUCAUCGAAUCUUUGAACGCACAUUGCGCCCUUUGGUAUUCCAAAGGGCAUGCCUGUUCGAGCGUCAUUUGUACCUUCAAGCUUUGCUUGGUGUUGGGCGUCUUUUUGUCUUUGGCCUCGCCCAAAGACUCGCCUUAAAACGAUUGGCAGCCGGCCUACUGGUUUCGCAGCGCAGCACAUUUUUGCGCUUGCAAUCAGCAAAAAGGACGGCAAUCCAUCAAGACUACAUUUUUACGUUUGACCUCGGAUCAGGUAGGGAUACCCGCUGAACUUAAGCAUAUCAAUAAG